AAGAAUACUGGAGAGGGUUGCCAGUUCCUUCUCAAGUCAGUAGGGGAACAGCUGAACAAUUAUACAUUUAUUCCACGGAAUACCAUGAAUCAAUUAAAAAGGAUACAUUAAACCACUGUCUGUUAUAUAUUAAUAACUUUUGAAAAUAUCAAAACAAUACUUGAAAAAAAGUAAAUGAUGGGUGGAUUGUAUCAAUAUCAAAUGUAUCAAUAUUCUGAGUGUAAUAUUUUACUAUAGUUUGAUGACACGUUACCUUUAGGGGGAAGUGUUUAAGUACAUGGGAUUCUGUAUUAUUUCUCAAAACUACACAUGAGUCCACAUCUCAAAAUUUAAAAGUUGAAUAAAAAAAUAUUUCCAGUACGUACAUAAUUGGGGUUUCUUCCCCCCACAGAGAACAUUUAUCUUGCCAUCAAAAAAAUUUUUUUUCUUUUCACUUUGUGAAUAAAACGGAGAGGUUGGGAUGGGGAAUCUCAACCUGGUUUCCCCUGGCUAUAGGGAUAGACAGCUUUGAAGGCUUCCAGAACCGCCCCCGCCUCAAGGGUCCUGGGUCGCCCCUCCCUAGGAGUGUACGGGAACUACAAAUUGCUAACUGGGGCGGCCCCUCUAGCCCACCUCGGAGGUCCACGUCCUGUUAGCCCAGAAGAUAACACUUCUAGCUGUCCGAGCUGGACCGAAUUGAAGAAUUUUCGCCCUUUUCCGCUCAGCGAGGGAAAGACUCUCUCUCGCCCACCCGUCCGCGGUUCUCUCAGACAGCCAUGCCUUGGCUGAGCAUCCUCUGCUUCCCGCGCCCUCCUGGGAGGACGCCACGCUCACUCGCAUUGCUCCAAUGACCCAGAAGCUGGGCUAGGAGGACCGGCCGCGUUUUCUGGGCAGGGUGAGUCAUUUCCGGUCACAGGCUCCCUCCCCCGGAAGUGAGGCCUGAUGUAAACACCAAAACAGGGCGUCAAGGCCCGGGAGGUCAGAAAGCCGGGCCGCGGGCGGCACCGAGAACUGGAGCUGGGAUCGGGGACGCACAGUGGUCAGGGAAGUAAUCCUGGACCAUGACUCAGCAGCCACUUCGAGGCGUGACCAGUCUGCGUUUCAACCAAGACCAAAGCUGCUUUUGCUGUGCUAUGGAGACAGGUGUGCGCAUCUACAACGUGGAGCCAUUGAUGGAGAAGGGGCAUCUGGACCAUGAGCAGGUGGGCAGCAUGGGCCUGGUGGAAAUGCUGCACCGCUCCAACCUGCUGGCCCUGGUGGGCGGUGGUAGCAGCCCCAAGUUCUCAGAGAUCUCAGGGGUAGGUCUUGUGUCACCAGGGCUGCCCCUCACCCUACACGUUGGCCCCGACAACACACCCACCUGCCAAGCAGUGCUGAUCUGGGACGAUGCCCGGGAGGGCAAGGACUCCAAGGACAAGCUGGUGCUGGAGUUCACCUUCACCAAGCCAGUGCUGGCUGUGCGCAUGCGCCAUGACAAAAUCGUGAUCGUGCUGAAGAACCGCAUCUAUGUAUACUCCUUCCCUGACAAUCCCCGAAAGCUGUUUGAAUUUGACACCCGGGACAACCCCAAGGGGCUCUGUGACCUCUGCCCCAGCCUGGAGAAACAACUGCUAGUGUUCCCAGGACACAAGUGCGGGAGCCUACAACUUGUGGACCUGGCAAGCACAAAGCCUGGCACUUCAUCUGCUCCGUUUACCAUCAAUGCACAUCAGAGCGACGUGGCCUGUGUGUCUCUGAACCAGCCAGGCACGGUAGUGGCCUCGGCCUCUCAGAAGGGCACACUUAUUCGCCUUUUUGACACACAGUCCAAGGAGAAACUGGUGGAAUUGCGUCGAGGCACUGACCCUGCCACCCUCUACUGCAUCAACUUUAGCCAUGAUUCCUCCUUCCUGUGUGCAUCCAGUGAUAAGGGUACAGUCCAUAUCUUUGCUCUCAAGGAUACCCGCCUUAACCGCCGUUCUGCCCAGUAUUGCCUGCAGGCUGGCUCGCGUGGGCAAGGUGGGGCCUAUGAUUGGGCAGUAUGUGGACUCUCAGUGGAGCCUGGCGAGCUUCACCGUGCCUGCUGAGUCAGCCUGCAUCUGUGCUUUUGGUCGAAAUACUUCCAAGAAUGUCAACUCUGUCAUUGCCAUCUGUGUAGAUGGGACCUUCCACAAAUAUGUCUUCACUCCGGAUGGAAACUGCAACCGAGAGGCUUUCGACGUGUACCUUGACAUCUGUGAUGAUGAUGACUUUUAAGGACCCUGUGGGUUGUGCUAGGGAUCUUCAAUGGCAGAUUGCAAAGCCUGUGUGGGGGUGGGAGUGCUGUGGAAGCACCACCCAGGAUGCAUUAAUGGAGCGGGUGCCCACUUUGCACUCUUAAGAGCAACGCCCAAACAGAUCAGUUGCCCCAAGCACUUCCUGAUGACUGUGUGCCUGCAGGGCCAGGCCAGGGACCCAGGGAGACAGUGGACCCCCUGGAGCUCCCAGCCUGAAGAAAACUAUGGACCCAGAGUGGGUACCCUAAUCGAACCUGUGGGGAUUUUUAAAAAACUUCCCAGAAAGAGAUGCUCUCUGAUGUGAUGAAUAUAAAUAAAAGGCCCUUAAUAGUA